UGGGAAACAGACAACUUUGGUGGUUGAGAAUGGUCUGCUCACCCUAUGGGCCAGGGAACACUGUCUGUCUGUCUUCAAGGCUGAUUUAUACCCCAUUUAACCCUAGUGACUGGCCACAGUUGAGCUGGUGCCAUGAUGAAGAGGAACAGCAUCUCCAGGCAUAGACACUGUGCCUAUUCCUUGCCUAUCAAAGCUUUGACUUCCCAGAAGGGGCCAGGCACCUUGGGAACAUCUCCUCAAGUUAGCCCAGUCCCAGCUUGGUCACCUUGGCAUGUCUGUCUGUCUGGGGUAGACCCAAGGAGAUCUGAAAAUCUUCAACGUGAAAGAAGAAACGGACAGUCAAGUUCACACCAACUUUGGGCCUCACCCUGAUAUUGGGCCAGAAUCAUCAUCACCCAAGGAAUGAAUACGAGAAUUCCACACCUGCCACGCUGGGGGAUCUCAUCUCCAUACCCCCAAUGCUGAACAGCCUCUCAGCCAGGAAGAUGAAAUUAUAAAUUUAUAAUACAA